AUUUUCCACGUUUGUAUUUUUAGAAACAACUUCCAACGGACCAUCGAGUGAUAGAUCGACCAGCAAGGAAACCAUUCAUGCAACAUAUUCCAACAGACCAUCGGGUGAUGGAACAACCAGCGUGGAAAUUUCUCAUGUAACAAAUUUCAACAGGUUAUCGAGUUAUAGAACGACAAGUAUGGACACCUCUCAUGGUAAUGCAUAUUGGUAAUGUAUUUGUCAAAUUAACAUGGACCUAUAAUACGUAUUAUAGCUCCAUGGUAGUUUUUAAAGGUAGUAAGUCAAUCGCGAACCCUCUCGGUGAUAAUGAUGAAGAAUGGUUUAGGUUAGUUAAUUUAAGUCUAAUCUUUUUACAGCAUCACAGGUUAAUAAAAUGUAAUGGAAUUUGUUGACGGGCAAAGUAGUUUUUGGAGAUUUUUCAGAUUGCAUAAGAUGAGAAUAAUUCCAAGAAGGACAUCCUGAGUCAUCUACGAAUAAUCAUUUCACCACUGGCUUCUGACGUAGUUUUCAUGAAGGCAGGCUUUUCCUGUACGAUGGCAUACUGGAGAACAUGUUGCAUUCAAUCUUGAUAACCACUUGACGAACGAAAAGGAUAUGUCAUAAUCAUAGGAUAAUCAUAUUUUAAAGAUGUAUUGAAUCCAGUAUAACGAUUGCACAUGAAUGGACUACAACUACAUAUUUUAUCCGUUCCUAAAGUUGAUAUUCAUAACUUUUUUAACAGUGACGAUAGCAUCAAUCUUUAUUUCAUGACAAAAUCAGGCAGAUAUUAACUGUACAUUAAAAAAAUAUUGGAUUGUUUUUGGUUUCAUUGUUCUGAAUACACCAAGAAUAACCCAAGAAAAUUAUAAAAACAACGGGUUCUUUUGAUGGCGAAUCGGACAGUCACCGGAAAAAUUCCAUGGUUUUUCGAAAUUUGUACAGUGUUCUUUAACGUGCACAUGGGUCAUAAAAUUGCACGGUUUAAACGUCUCAUCCGAUAGACAGUGCGCUAGUGAAACUUACAUUUCGGCCCUCCGGUGAAGAUAAUGAUUACAGAAGAUAGAUUUUAAUCCGAGACAAAGUAUACCUACAGAUAUCCAAGUUUCAACGCACACAUAGUUGCUAUUAUGAUCUAUGCAAUAAUAUAUCAACAAAAAAUAAGCAUAUCAACAGUAAUAUGUCACGUGAUUAGAUUGUAAAAUGUGAAAGGCAUUAAUUUAAUAAAUUGUCUUAUAUCACGUCAUGUUUUCAAAGGUUUGUAUAAUGUUUAUAAAUUAGUUUCAUAAAUUACUGUUAUUAUUAAUUAUUAUUAUUAAUUAUUAUCUUGUACUAUUAUUAU